GAGAGGAGGUGCAUGGCCGUCGUCAGUUCGUACUGUGAAGCAUCCUGUUAAGUCAGGCAACGAGCGAGACCCACGCCAACAGUUGCCAGCUCGUCCUCCGGGGAUGGUGGGGACGACUGUUGGGACCGCCUCUGCUAAAGAGGAGGAAGGAAUGGGCAACGGUAGGUCAGCAUGCCCCGAAUUAUCUGGGCUACACGCGGGCUACAAUGGGUGGGACAAUGGGUAUCGACACCGAAAGGUGAAGGCAAUCUCCUAAACCCAUCCGUAGUUCGGAUUGUGGGCUGCAACUCGCCCACAUGAAGCUGGAAUCUGUAGUAAUCGUGUCUCAAAAUGGCACGGUGAAUAUGUCCCUGCUCCUU
rnacentral:rRNA from 1 species